rnacentral:rRNA from 1 species
AUUGAACGCUGGCGGCAGGCCUAACACAUGCAAGUCGGACGGUAGCACAGGGGAGCUUGCUCCCCGGGUGACGAGUGGCGGACGGGUGAGUAAUGUCUGGGAAACUGCCCGGUGGAGGGGGAUAACUACUGGAAACGGUAGCUAAUACCGCAUAACGUCUUCGGACCAAAGUGGGGGACCUUAGGGCCUCACGCCACCGGAUGUGCCCAGAUGGGAUUAGCUAGUAGGUGGGGUAACGGCUCACCUAGGCGACGAUCCCUAGCUGGUCUGAGAGGAUGACCAGCCACACUGGAACUGAGACACGGUCCAGACUCCUACGGGAGGCAGCAGUGGGGAAUAUUGCACAAUGGGCGCAAGCCUGAUGCAGCCAUGCCGCGUGUAUGAAGAAGGCCUUCGGGUUGUAAAGUACUUUCAGCGGGGAGGAAGGCGGUGAGGUUAAUAACCUCGCCGAUUGACGUUACCCGCAGAAGAAGCACCGGCUAACUCCGUGCCAGCAGCCGCCGCCG